GACGGAGGAUGCAAGCGUUAUCCGGAAUUAUUGGGCGUAAAGCGUCCGCAGGCGGCUGUUCAAGUCUGCUGUCAAAGCGCAGAGCUUAACUCUGUACAGGCGGUGGAAACUGAAGAGCUAGAGUAUGGUAGGGGUAGAGGGAAUUCCCGGUGUAGCGGUGAAAUGCGUAGAUAUCGGGAAGAACACCAGUGGCGAAAGCGCUCUGCUGGGCCAUAACUGACACUGAGGGACGAAAGCGAGGGGAGCGAAAGGG
rnacentral:rRNA from 1 species